rnacentral:rRNA from 1 species
UGGGGAAUAUUGGACAAUGGGCGAAAGCCUGAUCCAGCCAUGCCGCGUGUGUGAAGAAGGUCUUCGGAUUGUAAAGCACUUUAAGUUGGGAGGAAGGGCAGUAAGCGAAUACCUUGCUGUUUUGACGAUACCGACAGAAUAAGCACCGGCUAACUCUGUGCCAGCAGCCGCGGUAAUACAGAGGGUGCAAGCGUUAAUCGGAAUUACUGGGCGUAAAGCGCGCGUAGGUGGUUCGUUAAGUUGAAUGUGAAAGCCCCGGGCUCAACCUGGGAACUGCAUCCAAAAAUGGCGAGCUAGAGUAGGGCAGAGGGUGGUGGAAUUUCCUGUGUAGCGGUGAAAUGCGUAGAUAUAGGAAGGAACACCAGUGGCGAAGGCGACCACCUGGGCUCAUACUGACACUGAGGUGCGAAAGCGUGGGGAGCAAACAGG